rnacentral:rRNA from 1 species
UGGGGGGAAACCCUGAUGGUGCGACGCCGCGUGGGGGAGGAAGGUCUUCGGAUUGUAAACCCCUGUCAUGUGGGAGCAAGGCGCAAGCUUGAUAGUACCACAAGAGGAAGAGACGGCAAACUCUGUGCCAGCAGCCGCGGUAAUACAGAGGUCUCAAGCGUUGUUCGGAAUCACUGGGCGUAAAGGGUACGUAGGCGGCUUAAUAAGUCGUGCGUGAAAGGCAGGGGCUCAACCUCUGGAGUGCGCAUGAUACUGUUGAGCUGGAGUAAUGGAGGGGGAACCGGAAUUCUUGGUGUAGCAGUGAAAUGCGUAGAUAUCAAGAAGAAGACUCGUGGCGAAGGCGGGCUCCUGGACAUUAACUGACGCUGAGGUACGAAGGCCAGGGUAGCGAAAGGGAUUAGAUACCCCUGUAGUCCUGGCAGUAAACGGUGCACGCUUGGUGUGCGGGGAAUCGACCCCCUGCGUGCCGGAGCAAACGCGUUAAGCGUGCCGCCUGGGGAGUACGGUCGCAAGAUUAAAACUCAAAGAAAUUGACGGGGACCCGCACAAGCGGUGGAGUAUGUGGCUUAAUUCGAUGCAACGCGAAGAACCUUACCAAGGCUUGACAUCCCGUGACCGACUAUGAAAGUAGUUUUUCUAUUCGUAGACACGGAGACAGGUGCUGCAUGGCCGUCGUCAGCUCGUGUCGUGAGAUGUUUGGUUAAGUCCAGCAACGAGCGCAACCCCUGCUGCCAGUUACCAGCGAGUAAAGUCGGGGACUCUGGCGGGACUGCCCAGAUCAACUGGGAGGAAGGUGGGGACGACGUCAGGUCAGUAUGGCCCUUAUGCCUUGCGCUGCACACGUACUACAAUGCCCAGUACAGAGGGAAGCAAGCGAGCGAUCGCAAGCGGA